UCCCGUAUUAUUAAAUUUAGAUUUGAUUAUUAUAAAUCUAUUUGUCUAAAUAUUGUUGUUGGCUUUAAUUGAAAAGUGAAUUGAUUAUGUGAAUAGUUUUAUAUGAGUAUACUUGUUCUAUGGAUUAAUAUGGAUUAUACUGAUUAUGCGUCCUCCUUCUUUUUCUGAUUCCGAGGACGGAAUCCCUAUAAGGAGGGUAGAUUGUAAUAACCCGGAUUUUAAAAAUAUUUUUAUUAAUAUUAUAAAUGAUUUUCUUAAAAAGAAAGGAAUAAGAUUUAAUAUUUUAUUCCAGUUUAAUGAGUUUUCAAGGUUUUAUAUUUAAACCCCGGGUUAUUGUGUUAUUGAUAAAUAAUUGUAAUUUCAAAAUGGAUUUUCAUAUAAAAAUUCUGUAUGAAUAUUAUGUGAGUAUAUGUGUUAUGUGAUGAAGUGGUAGUGGUGAAUUUGUUUGUUAAUUAGUUAUGAUUAAUUAUUAAUAUUAUAUGAUUAAUAUAUGAAUUUUUGUGAAUUUUGUGUUAUCCAGUUUAUUGAGCUGACUGCUCAUAUGUGUUCGUAUCUGAGAGAUUUCAAUUUCUAUAUGCUCAGGAGAAAAUAUAGUUUAUUUGGAUAUUUUCAUAUCGAUUUAUGGAAUGUUAGAUGAUUUUAUAAUCGAUUUACGGAUUUAAUUGCGUAUAUUUAUAUUUACUUAGUAAUUAUUUGACUUCCGUAAAACCGUUCACUCGUAACGAGGUAGUAGAUUUUCUUCCCGGAAGUUUCGAGAAAACUCACCUUUAGCCUAAUUUGAAUAUUCCGGACAUUUUUCGUGUUUUGACUUUUUCGAUCCGGAGUACGGUUUUCCCCGGAGUCGGUCCGGCGGAGUUUUCGGGUAUUUUAAUUGUCGAUAAUUAUCCAGUUUGUCUCGAUAAACGUGAACCGAGAUAUUUUCUUCAUCCUUAUCAUGUAAUAAUUGCAGUGGGACCCGCAGACCAAUAAUUGAGUUAAAAAGCCCCGUUUUGAUGAUUAUCUUGAAAACUAGUACCGAUUGGACCCCACUUUCUUAAUAUAAAGCUAUUAAAUACGUAUUUUCAUGUCAUAAACGAUCCAAAGGGGUACCAAUUAUUUGUAAGUAUAAAUAUACCUUUCUAGAGCUUAUUUUCACCCGUAAAAUCAUUUCACCAGUUUCUCCGCACGAUAAUCGAGAGAAACCGAGCGGUGUUCUUCGUGUUCUUCAUAUUCAAACGAGGAUUUGAAGGUGUUAUUGGAAUCCGAUGGAGGCGUAUGAAUAGUCAAAACGAAGAUAUCGAUGCGUAGAAUCAAGUUUAAUCAUCUGUUUGUGUGCAGAUUCAACAGGAUUUGAACGAGACGUGUACGCUCGAAGACGUCAGGAAGUCGGAAUGGUAUUGCAAAGUGAAUAAGGGAUGAAUCGAGUAAGCGAAGCGAAGAUGUACGGUAGAUAGAGUAUAGCCAGAGAUGGUCUAGAGACUAUGAGAUGCAUAGAUUGUGAAAGUGGAAAGAUGAGAUUGAGAUGUGAGACUGGAGUCAGAUUUAAGAAAGGCUGAAAGAUAAGAUGAUUGAUUGAGAUUGUGGAUAAGGCGAAUGCUAGGCGAGGAGACAGAGUUGAGGAUCCAGUGGUCGAGGAGUAUUCAGGAAAGUUGAUAAGGUUGGUGCUAGCUAGAGUUAUGCUAUGAAGUUUCAGAUGUAAGUCAUGACUGGAGUAAGUUGACAGUGAUUCUUCUUAUCGAAGAUGAUCUGAUUUGGUAAGGGAUGUUGUGUAGUAUUAGUGGUGGAUUCUAAUUUCAAUACUGUAACCUGGAAGCGAUCCUGUUGUUUUUGGGGGUUAAAAUGUUCUCUUUCGAAUCAGCUAUUAAAGUUUAAAUGUUCUCUGAAAAGUUCUUUUAUGAUGGUUUUCAAAUUUAAAAUUCAGGUUUUGAAAUCAUUUGAUUUAUGUUCUCAUACAAAUCUUUUAUUAAAUGUUUCAAGUUUUAAAUUCUUGUGGAUUUUCAUUAUCUUUAAUAAAAAUACAGGGUUUCACAAGUGUUUUAAAAAGGGUUUUGUGUGGUGACGUCAGAAUCCAGACCCCCGGAUUCCUGGACCGUCACAGUUGGUAUCAGAGCAACAGGUUACAAGUUAUUGAAAUUUGAAUAUAGAUUAUAGUCUUAAGUUUUCUAGAGAAGAAUGUUGUGUGACCUCAUAUAGAGGUAUUGUGAGACUAUUUAGAAAUAGUCUAGAGAUGCGAUAAAGGUAUAGAAUCUGGUUAGACGAUCAAGUUGAGUGUAUAGGUUUAGAGAGAUUUUGAUUCUUAAGUUUAGGCAUAGGAUUUCUAGUAUGUUGAUUAAUUGAGAUGGUGAAUUGUGAGAAAGGUCAAGAUUAGACCUAGAUAGAAGAGUUUGAUGGUGAAUGAUUGAAUUGAGAAUGGUGAAAAUGCAGUGUUCAGAUUAUUCUGACUAUACUGCAUAGUUGAAAAUGGUCUACUGUAUUGAUUUGAGAAUGAUAAAGAUGCAUGGUUCAUAGUAUGUUGACCAUGUUGGAUAUUUGGAAAAGUAUAUUGUUUUGUGAGAUAUGAAGAGUUAGUGUAUGAUAUGAGUUGUACUGAAUCAGAAGGAGAGAUUUAUAGAUAGAGGUGGAUAGGUGAGAAGUGAAUGAUAGAGAGUAUGUGGAGUUGAGUCCAGCUAUUAGAGGUAAUGUCUGCGAGUAAGUUAGAACGUUAGUCCUCGACGACAACGCUUCGAGCUAAUCGGGAUUUCAAAUGGCAUCAAAGGUGGGCCCAUAACCCACAGGUUGAUGAUCCAGACAAUCGAAGAUACGUUACGUGUUGUGCUAUGGAUUUCAAAGGCAAUUGGGAUAAAGUAGAAGAAUGUAAACUACAUGGGCCAGAGUUGUUACGGACGAUAACGUCUACGAUGACAUCUUACGAGGCUAUUACGAGUCAAAUCGAUUGAUUAUCGAGAACGUUGAAAAGAAGACAUAUAUUGUAUAAUGAUUUAUCGAAGUAGAGUCGGAAUCUGAGAAGACCUUGGCAAUACCUCUCUUCAACUAAAGAUUCCUUUGAUUGUUUUCUUAUCAGUGAGAUAUUAUCAUGAUAUCUUUUCUACAAAAGUUUUGAUAAAUGAGAUAUUCAAUUUCUCAAAUUCUAAGAUGACAUUGAUAUUGAUUAUUGGUAUGAGUUGGAAAGCAAAGAUGUGUGAUAAAGGUUUGUUGUGAAGAGACAGUGGAAUUCCUUGAUAUUAUUUGAUAUUCUUUGAUAUUCCUUGAUAUUCUUCCAUAUUCUUUGAUGUCCCUUAAUAUUCGUUGAUAUUCGUUGACAUUCUUUGACACUCUUUGACAUUCCUUGAUAUCUUUUCGAUGUUCCCUAAUAUAUCCCUCGAUAAUCCCUAAUAUUCUUGAUGCUCCUUGAGAUUUCUUGGAUUCUUUCCAUCUGAUUGGGAUGAACAACCCUAUGUAUAGGGGACACAAGGUAUACCUGUCUGUGUGAUAGGAGUUGGAUGGGACGCCAUCACUUGUGUGUGUUGUGAUUACAAGAAGGUUAAAAACCUUUAGUAGUGUCUAAUGUGGACACGCAACACCAAGUUCGUUGAUCAUAUAGAUCUCUCAGUCACUCCUUUAUUCAAAGGUGAUCUACCUUGAAAACAUCUUGUUCUAUUCAAAAUUCCCAAAGAUUGAUUCUUGGGAAAUGAAUUCUGCAAUUGCGAAAGUUGAUUCUCCAAUUUCUUUAAAGCUAAAGGUAUGCCAAGGCCGAUCAAAGGUGUAUGAUGAUACGUUAUGACGAAGCGUAUAGUGGAAUCUCCUAAGUAAUACGUUUUAGUUUCUUCGGAGGAUUCCGAGGACGGAAUCCUUAUAAGGGGGGUAGAAUGUAAUAUCCCGUAUUAUUAAAUUUAGAUUUGAUUAUUAUAAAUCUAUUUGUCUAAAUAUUGUUGUUGGCUUUAAUUGAAAAGUGAAUUGAUUAUGUGAAUAGUUUUAUAUGAGUAUACUUGUUCUAUGGAUUAAUAUGGAUUAUACUGAUUAUGCGUCCUCCUUCUUUUUCUGAUUCCGAGGACGGAAUCCCUAUAAGGAGGGUAGAUUGUAAUAACCCGGAUUUUAAAAAUAUUUUUAUUAAUAUUAUAAAUGAUUUUCUUAAAAAGAAAGGAAUAAGAUUUAAUAUUUUAUUCCAGUUUAAUGAGUUUUCAAGGUUUUAUAUUUAAACCCCGGGUUAUUGUGUUAUUGAUAAAUAAUUGUAAUUUCAAAAUGGAUUUUCAUAUAAAAAUUCUGUAUGAAUAUUAUGUGAGUAUAUGUGUUAUGUGAUGAAGUGGUAGUGGUGAAUUUGUUUGUUAAUUAGUUAUGAUUAAUUAUUAAUAUUAUAUGAUUAAUAUAUGAAUUUUUGUGAAUUUUGUGUUAUCCAGUUUAUUGAGCUGACUGCUCAUAUGUGUUCGUAUCUGAGAGAUUUCAAUUUCUAUAUGCUCAGGAGAAAAUAUAGUUUAUUUGGAUAUUUUCAUAUCGAUUUAUGGAAUGUUAGAUGAUUUUAUAAUCGAUUUACGGAUUUAAUUGCGUAUAUUUAUAUUUACUUAGUAAUUAUUUGACUUCCGUAAAACCGUUCACUCGUAACGAGGUAGUAGAUUUUCUUCCCGGAAGUUUCGAGAAAACUCACCUUUAGCCUAAUUUGAAUAUUCCGGACAUUUUUCGUGUUUUGACUUUUUCGAUCCGGAGUACGGUUUUCCCCGGAGUCGGUCCGGCGGAGUUUUCGGGUAUUUUAAUUGUCGAUAAUUAUCCAGUUUGUCUCGAUAAACGUGAACCGAGAUAUUUUCUUCAUCCUUAUCAUGUAAUAAUUGCAGUGGGACCCGCAGACCAAUAAUUGAGUUAAAAAGCCCCGUUUUGAUGAUUAUCUUGAAAACUAGUACCGAUUGGACCCCACUUUCUUAAUAUAAAGCUAUUAAAUACGUAUUUUCAUGUCAUAAACGAUCCAAAGGGGUACCAAUUAUUUGUAAGUAUAAAUAUACCUUUCUAGAGCUUAUUUUCACCCGUAAAAUCAUUUCACCAGUUUCUCCGCACGAUAAUCGAGAGAAACCGAGCGGUGUUCUUCGUGUUCUUCAUAUUCAAACGAGGAUUUGAAGGUGUUAUUGGAAUCCGAUGGAGGCGUAUGAAUAGUCAAAACGAAGAUAUCGAUGCGUAGAAUCAAGUUUAAUCAUCUGUUUGUGUGCAGAUUCAACAGGAUUUGAACGAGACGUGUACGCUCGAAGACGUCAGGAAGUCGGAAUGGUAUUGCAAAGUGAAUAAGGGAUGAAUCGAGUAAGCGAAGCGAAGAUGUACGGUAGAUAGAGUAUAGCCAGAGAUGGUCUAGAGACUAUGAGAUGCAUAGAUUGUGAAAGUGGAAAGAUGAGAUUGAGAUGUGAGACUGGAGUCAGAUUUAAGAAAGGCUGAAAGAUAAGAUGAUUGAUUGAGAUUGUGGAUAAGGCGAAUGCUAGGCGAGGAGACAGAGUUGAGGAUCCAGUGGUCGAGGAGUAUUCAGGAAAGUUGAUAAGGUUGGUGCUAGCUAGAGUUAUGCUAUGAAGUUUCAGAUGUAAGUCAUGACUGGAGUAAGUUGACAGUGAUUCUUCUUAUCGAAGAUGAUCUGAUUUGGUAAGGGAUGUUGUGUAGUAUUAGUGGUGGAUUCUAAUUUCAAUACUGUAACCUGGAAGCGAUCCUGUUGUUUUUGGGGGUUAAAAUGUUCUCUUUCGAAUCAGCUAUUAAAGUUUAAAUGUUCUCUGAAAAGUUCUUUUAUGAUGGUUUUCAAAUUUAAAAUUCAGGUUUUGAAAUCAUUUGAUUUAUGUUCUCAUACAAAUCUUUUAUUAAAUGUUUCAAGUUUUAAAUUCUUGUGGAUUUUCAUUAUCUUUAAUAAAAAUACAGGGUUUCACAA